rnacentral:rRNA from 1 species
GAAUAUUGGUCAAUGGAGGGAACUCUGAACCAGCCAUGCCGCGUGCAGGAAGACUGCCCUAUGGGUUGUAAACUGCUUUUAUACGGGAAUAAACCCCUCGACGUGUCGGGGGCUGAAUGUACCGUAGGAAUAAGGAUCGGCUAACUCCGUGCCAGCAGCCGCGGUAAUACGGAGGAUCCGAGCGUUAUCCGGAAUUAUUGGGUUUAAAGGGUGCGUAGGCGGCCCGUUAAGUCAGGGGUGAAAGACGGUGGCUCAACCAUCGCAGUGCCCUUGAUACUGUCGGGCUUGAAUGUACAUGAGGUAGGCGGAAUGUGGCAAGUAGCGGUGAAAUGCAUAGAUAUGCCACAGAACACCGAUUGCGAAGGCAGCUUACCAAGGUAUGAUUGACGCUGAGGCACGAAAGCGUGGGGAUCAAACAG